rnacentral:rRNA from 1 species
GACAGAGGUGCCAAGCGUUAGGCGGAAUCACUGGGCUUAAAGCGUGUGUAGGCGGAAUUGUAAGUACCUUGUGAAAUCCCAUAGCUCAACUAUGGAACUGCUUGGUAUACUGCUUUUCUUGAGCCACUUAGGGGCUACCGGAACAAAUGGUGGAGCGGUGAAAUGCGUAGAUAUCAUUUGGAACGCCAAUGGUGAAAACAGGUAGCUGGGAGUGUGCUGACGCUGAGACACGAAAGCCAGGGGAGCGAACGGG